UACGAAGGGGGCUAGCGUUGCUCGGAUUGACUGGGCGUAAAGGGCGCGUAGGCGGUUUGUCCAGUCAGACGUGAAAUUCCUGGGCUCAACCUGGGGGCUGCGUUUGAUACGUGCGAGCUUGAGUUCGGAAGAGGGUCGUGGAAUUCCCAGUGUAGAGGUGAAAUUCGUAGAUAUUGGGAAGAACACCGGUGGCGAAGGCGGCGACCUGGUCCGAUACUGACGCUGAGGCGCGAAAGCGUGGGGAGCAAACAGG
rnacentral:rRNA from 1 species